CGAUUUAUAAUGCAGAAGGUUAGCAUGUCCGCCUAUGAUGCUGAAAGCCUGGGUUCGAAUCCUGGCAAGACUA
rnacentral:tRNA from 1 species